UGUAGAGGUUCAAGCACAACCUCAGAAUUAUAUCAUGUUGGUCAUACUCGUUGUCUACACUCACCUCAUCAUAUGUUUAUGGGUUCCUCCUGGAUGUAAGCACAUACUUUGAACUUCCCCAUUAUAGGGUCAAGCCGGUGCAUGGGUUCCUCCUACGAAGAGAUGUUCAAAGCAUCUCUCGCUUAUCAACUUAAUAUUCGUUUUGAGGGAGUAGUUUUGGGCUACAUCAAAACAUUUUAAUCACAUUAAAAGAACUUGGGUCUAUCACAACUAUUGGUCCAAGUUAAUAUGAAUUAGUAGCAUAUAAUACUCCCACUGUUUCGUUGAAACAAGCAAGACUAUAUGGAACUACUAGCGAAUGCAUUGCAUCCUCAUAUGGACUAUAUAGUCAUAUUAGGUUUUAGGAUGAUUAUGAACCGAUUA
rnacentral:lncRNA from 1 species